UUUUUAGCAUAAGUAUGUCCCAUGCAAUAUUUGGGAUAAACAUGUACUAAAA
rfam:Myotis lucifugus cont2.31117, whole genome shotgun sequence.